CUCAACAUGAUAUAAAAACUAGGGUAAACGGCGGCUGUAAUCUGACGGUCCAAAGGUAGCAAAAUUCCUUGUCGGGUAAAUUCCGUCCUGCAUGAAUGGUGUAACGACUUUCCUAAUGUCUCUAAUGUAAGACUUUUUUAAAUAGAAAACUCCUUGAAUAUGAGGAACCCUAUGGCCCGACGGUAAGACCCUGAGCACCUUUACUUCCCU
rnacentral:rRNA from 1 species